GGUUGCGAUGUUAGAGAAGCAUUUAAAGGUUAAAGCUAAGAAGAAUUUCGUCGUAAUGCCCGGAAACGGCGACGUUCCGUUUACUCAUGCGAAUAUAAGUUCGGCCCGGAAAGAAUUCGGGUAUAAACCCACAACCGAUUUACAAACCGGGUUGAAAAAGUUUGUUAAAUGGUAUCUCUCUUAUUAUGGCUAUGAUCAAGGAAAGUUGUAAAUUGAUAAUUUAUUUUUAAAAAAAAAUUUCAUGUUGUGGUUAUUUUAGAUUUUUUCUUUUUCUUUUUUGUAAUCACAAAAGCAA
rnacentral:misc_RNA from 1 species